rnacentral:rRNA from 1 species
UACGUAGGGGGCAAGCGUUGUUCGGAAUUACUGGGCGUAAAGGGCGCGUAGGCGGCAUGGCAAGUCGGGAGUGAAAUGCCUGGGCUCAACCGAGGAACUGCUUUCGAGACUGCCAAGCUAGAGUGCGGAAGGGGCAUCUGGAAUUCCCAGUGUAGCGGUGAAAUGCGUAGAUAUUGGGAAGAACACCUGAGGCGAAGGCGGGAUGCUGGGCCGACACUGACGCUGAAGCGCGAAAGCCAGGGGAGCAAACAGG